AAGGCUGGCGCUGCUUCCUGGCCGCAGUGUCGGACCCGCCGGGCUCGAUGACGCGUGUUCUCGUUGAGGCCGUGCAGGCGACAGUCGACUGCGCUUUCCACGAGAAGGCGGUGUUCCCCCUGAUCAAGCAGGGCUCAGGCAAGGUGAUAGUGA